AGAGUUUGAUCCUGGCUCAGUAUAAACUCAAAUGAAUUGACGGGGCUAGAGUUUGAUCCUGGCUCAGAUUGAACGCUGGUGGUAUGCUUAACACAUGCAAGUCGAACGGUAACAGAAGAGCUUGCUCUUGCUGACGAGUGGCGGACGGGUGAGUAACGCGUAGGAAUCUGCCUAUUAGUGGGGGAUACCAGUUGGAAACGACUGUUAAUACCGCAUAAUAUCUACGGAUUAAAGGUGGCCUUUGUGCUGCCGCUGAUGGAUGAGCCUGCGUUAGAUUAGCUUGUUGGUGGGGUAAAGGCCCACCAAGGCCGCGAUCUAUAGCUGAUUUGAGAGGAUGAUCAGCCACAUUGGAACUGAGACACGGUCCAAACUCCUACGGGAGGCAGCAGUGGGGAAUAUUGGACAAUGGAGGAAACUCUGAUCCAGCAAUACCAUGUGUGUGAAGAAGGCUCUAGGGUCGUAAAGCACUUUAGUCAGGAAGGAAGUAUUAUUUGUUAAUAACAUUUAAUUUUGACGUUACCUGAAGAAUAAGCACCGGCUAACUCCGUGCCAGCAGCCGCGGUAAU
rnacentral:rRNA from 1 species